AACGCAAAAAAUCGUUUCCGUUUUAAAUUUUAUUUCAAAUAUUAAUGUACUUAU
rnacentral:snoRNA from 1 species